rnacentral:rRNA from 1 species
UGCCAGCCGCCGCGGUAAUACAGAGAGUGCAAACGUUGUUCGGAAUCACUGGGCUUAAAGCGCACGUAGGCGGCACUGUAAGUGUGAGGUGAAAGCCCACGGCUCACCCGUGGAAUUGCCUUGCAUACUGCAGUGCUAGAGUGUGGUAGGGGAGAGCGGAACUCCUGGUGGAGCGGUGAAAUGCGUAGAUAUCAGGAGGAACACCGGUGGCGAAGGCGGCUUUCUGGAACGGUACUGACGCUGAGACGCGAAAGCGUGGGGAGCGAACAGGAUUAGAUA